rnacentral:rRNA from 1 species
UACGAAGGGGGCUAGCGUUGCUCGGAAUUACUGGGCGUAAAGGGAGCGUAGGCGGACAUUUAAGUUAGGGGUGAAAUCCCGAGGCUCAACCUCGGAACUGCCUUUGAUACUGGAUGUCUUGAGUGUGAGAGAGGUGAGUGGAACUCCGAGUGUAGAGGUGAAAUUCGUAGAUAUUCGGAAGAACACCAGUGGCGAAGGCGACUCACUGGCUCAUUACUGACGCUGAGGCUCGAAAGCGUGGGGAGCAAACAGG